rnacentral:rRNA from 1 species
GCUAACGCGUUAAGUAGACCGCCUGGGGAGUACGGUCGCAAGAUUAAAACUCAAAUGAAUUGACGGGGGCCCGCACAAGCGGUGGAGCAUGUGGUUUAAUUCGAUGCAACGCGAAGAACCUUACCUACUCUUGACAUCCAGAGAACUUUCCAGAGAUGGAUUGGUGCCUUCGGGAACUCUGAGACAGGUGCUGCAUGGCUGUCGUCAGCUCGUGUUGUGAAAUGUUGG